AGAGUUUGAUCCUGGCUCAGAUUGAACGCUGGCGGNAUGCUUUACACAUGCAAGUCGAACGGCAGCACGGACUUCGGUCUGGUGGCGAGUGGCGAACGGGUGAGUAAUGCGCCGGAACGUAUCCAGUAGAGGGGGAUAACGCAGCGAAAGCUGUGCUAAUACCGCAUACGCCCUGAGGGGGAAAGCAUGGGAUCUUCGGACCAUGCGUUACUGGAGCGGCCGACGUCUGAUUAGCUAGUAGGUGAGGUAAAGGCUCACCUAGGCGAUGAUCAGUAGCUGGUCUGAGAGGAUGAUCACCACACUGAACUGAGAGACGUC
rnacentral:rRNA from 1 species